rnacentral:misc_RNA from 1 species
CAGGGUCUAACGACUACCCAAAACCAACCGUGCUCCUUUCCUUUUAUCUUGCUUCGGCGAUCGCCUGCUGGGGAGGCCGCCGGCCGGGACUUGUGCCCGGUGGUCGUCGAAGCAAACCAACCCAAACUUUACUUUGAAAUUAUCUUCUGAGAACUUUCUAAAAGAAAAAUCA